GCCCCGGUGGCGGAAUUGGCAGACGCACAAGGUUCAGAGCCUUGCGAGUUUUACUCGUGUGAGUUCAAAUCUCACCCGGGGCA
rnacentral:tRNA from 1 species